UACGUAGGGGGCAAGCGUUGUCCGGAUUUAUUGGGCGUAAAGAGCGUGUAGGCGGUUUGGUAGGUCCGCUGUGAAAACUCGAGCUCAACCUCGAGACGCCGGUGGAAACCAUCAGACUAGAGUCCGGAAGAGGAGAGUGGAAUUCCUGGUGUAGCGGUGAAAUGCGCAGAUAUCAGGAAGAACACCCCGUGGCGAAAAGCGGCUCUCUGGAACGGUACUGACGCUGAGACGCGAAAGCGUGGGGAGCAAACAGG
rnacentral:rRNA from 1 species